AUUUAUAAAAUAUAUAAUUAUGUAUAUUUAACUUCCAAUUAAAAAGACUGAAAAUUUUCAGUAUAAAUA
rnacentral:tRNA from 1 species